rnacentral:tRNA from 1 species
GGACCCGUAGCUUAGCAUGGAUAUAGCACCGGCCUCCUAAGCCGGGGAUCGCGGGUUCAAAUCCCGCCGGGUCCG